rnacentral:sRNA from 1 species
AGCUGAUCGAUGCGGACCUCCCUCCCGGUUCGCGUUCCAGCUGUUCCCCUCUGGAGGUUUGACCUCCACACCUCAAGGGCCGCGGCUUCCGCUGGCCCUUUUUU